GUCUCCUUCUCGAGGUCUCUCCUUGAGGACCGAGAGAGAAUUCACUUUCACUUACGUGAGCGCCAGGAGGACCCUCUUUGGAGUUUUCUCCUUUUCUUUUAUUGAUUUUGCUAGAACACAGACAUCCCUGUAUAGAAGCCAGUCGAUCACCCUAGUGUCAUUACCCUGCCUGCUGGCUGGGCAGGUAACUCCUCUGGUCACCACCCUCUCCAGCCUGCCUUGGGCUUGGAGAGUGAGGAGGAGGGUGAGGGACAUCUGCUGACCCUGAACAUCCGCCAUCCAUCAUACCAUCUCCUAGAGCAAGAUGGCCAGGCUCCUGCGCAGGUUCAGGAGGAAGGCUCUGCAGGUGGCUCCAGAGCCUGAGGGAAGCAGCGGCCAUCUUCCCCAGGGGCAGAGCCACCUCUCCGUCCCCGCUGGCGGGGAAGCAGCUCCCAUGCAGGCCAGAAGGCGGAAGUUCCCAGCCUUCUGGAGAACAAGGCCAGCUCCCGGCGCAGGCGCCGAGCUGGGAGAGGCCCCGACCAAGCCCAGGUGGAGCUGGCUCAGGAAGAGGUUUUGCGGACAGGACCCAGCCCAGGAGGGGCGCCGGGCAGGGAGGCUCCGGGGCCUCUUAUGUGAGCAGCAGUGGCCCCAGGAGCCCAGCCCCCAUUCCCAGCAGGGGGCAUCGCCCUGCCCGGGCUCUGAGGAUCUUUCAGCCCCCUCAGACCAGGAGGUGGAAGAUCCCAGCACCAGCACCAUCGGCUCAGCACGGGACAGCAGCAGUG